rnacentral:rRNA from 1 species
GAUGAACGCUGACAGAAUGCUUAACACAUGCAAGUACACUUAAACUUCGGUUGGGGUGCCGACCGGGUGAGUAACGGUAAAGGACCUUGCCUCCAAGAUAGGGCAACCUUUUGGAAAGAAAUGCUAAUCCCUGUUAUUUUGUUAAUAUGCCUUCGUAUAUUUAUAAAAGUUAUAUGCGCUGUGAGAGGGCUUUGCGUCCCAUUAGCUAGUUGGAGAGGUAACGGCUCACCAAGGCGAUGAUGGGUAGCCGGCCUGAGAGGGUGAUCGGCCACAAGGGGACUGAGACACGGCCCUUACUCCUACGGGAGGCAGCAGUGGGGAAUAUUGGACAAUGGACCAAGAGUCUGAUCCAGCAAUUCUGUGUGCACGAUGAAGUUUUUCGGAAUGUAAAGUGCUUUCAGUUGGGAAGAAAAAAAUGACGGUACCAACAGAAGAAGUGACGGCUAAAUACGUG